GACGCCGUGGAAUAACCGUGAUCAAAGUCAUCCGUCCAUUGACAUCCCAUAGACACUGCUAUUUUAGAUCACUGCAAUCCAACACAUAGAACGCCUGCAGGGCCAAGACAUAAUUAAUUAUCGGCUGCACUUGGCGGUGUUCAGUGCGUUGUUGUUCGUCGAUUUGUUCCCUCAACUGAUUUACUGAUUUCCGGAAAAUAUUCGAAUUGAUUUGUAUAUUUGUGACCGGCUUUGCAUCUACUACCGGAAUAUUACAUUUUCAUUGGUAAAUAAAUUUCCUCUUUUUUUCGGUCACACGCGAUUACAAGUGGCUCUUCGGUCGUUGCACACGACCAUUGGUUUUUCAAUUGUAAUUUGUCGAACAGGGUUGUUUCCAAUUGCAAGUACAUCGUCUCACAAUUUUCCGGUCAAAACUACAAUUGAUAAUAGCAGAUUUUGAGGUUACCAAUGUCAACGGAAAAGAUAUUUUAUUAGUAUCUGGAGCUUUAUCAAAUAGCCUAGACAAAUUCAAGGUGGUCAAAUUAGUAGGAAGGCCGUUAAUAUUGGCAAAGGAGAAAAACUAAGGGUAUUUCAAAGGGCAAACCUACCAAAAGUAAAGGGUAGUAUAAGAAGAAUUUUUCGGGAUGAACCGGAAAAACGGAUACCACUUUUAAACGAACUAAGAGAAAGUGUUUACAAUAAGGGAAUCAACACCUUAUCGACGGUGUUUAUCCAAGGAUAUUUGCAUAAGGACAAUAGAUCACCUGUAUUGGUUUUCUGGAAUGGUAAUAAAGAUCAAACUAUAAUGGAAAGGAUAAGAUUGCCCAAUUUUUAAAACUUGUGCUUAACCGCGUACGACGAGGAGAACAACGGGAUAUUCUACUUAAAACUAGCCAAUCUAUCUAAGGAAAACAAAGUGGUAUUAAUCAGUAUACCAAUGAGAAAAUAUGAGAACAACGGGAGAUUGUUAAAUUUAGUAGAAGCUCAUGGCAUAAUGUGUAAAGAUAAUCACGGAGACCGGGACCAUCACAACCCAAUGGGACUGCUAAUAACAGUGUCAAUCAGCAUCAAACUGAGCCAUUGCAAACAAUUUAACGACAUACAAAUCAACGAGAAUGUAUUUUGAAAACCAAGGACAAAUUAAAAUCAACACGGUGGAAUGGACAAUAGCUACCUUGACCUAAACCAUUUCGCAUCAAAACAAAUAUUGUUAAAUGAACAUUUAAAUCAAUCUCGGGAACUUUGUAUAAGUAGCUCAGACGCAGAACCGAUUUCAACAUCAAACUCAAACAUAACUUUAAAAACUGGUAAUCAGACUUCUUGUUGGGAAUUAUGGAAAGACUGGUAUGAAUUAGGCCAACAAAUAACUUCAUACACGGGAGAGGUGAUAUCAACAGACUUUGUGAGGGAGAAAAGGGAUUUGUCUUCUUCCGUUUUAGAAAAACAUAAUAUUUGGAAAAUUAAAUAAUAAUAUAGCUUCAAAGUAUAAUAAAUUGAUUGAUCAAAUUGAUAAACUUGAGUUGAAUCAAAAUGAAAAUGGAAAAAGAACAAAUAAAAAUAAUUAAAAAACAAAAUUAAAUAUAUAUCCAAAUUUUAGCUUAUAUUCUAAUAAUACCGUAAUGAUGUUAUUAAUUCAUAAUUACAAAAAACAAUUUUGAAA